AAAUUGAAGAGUUUGAUCAUGGCUCAGAUUGAACGCUGGCGGCAGGCCUAACACAUGCAAGUCGAACGGUAACAGGAAACAGCUUGCUGUUUCGCUGACGAGUGGCGGACGGGUGAGUAAUGUCUGGGAAACUGCCUGAUGGAGGGGGAUAACUACUGGAAACGGUAGCUAAUACCGCAUAAUGUCGCAAGACCAAAGAGGGGGACCUUCGGGCCUCUUGCCAUCGGAUGUGCCCAGAUGGGAUUAGCUUGUUGGUGGGGUA
rnacentral:rRNA from 1 species